CCCAAUCCCCCCAUACUUUUGAUUGGUCUUCUGAGCCCCAAUGCCACGUACUUUCACUCUUCGCCUAUAAAUUAGAAGCACCAUAUUUGAGCUCCCCUCACCAUUGAAGUGAGCUCUCUCUCAGUCUCUCUCUCUCCCCCCCCCCUCCCCUCUCGUCUGUCUUUAAUAAAAAGGCGAAGAGAUGAUCUUGAUGAUCAGGUUGAUAAACAGCAUGGGAGGAUCGGUAAAGCUCAGGAGGGAUAGCGCCAUAGAGAGUAAAGUGAUGAUGAUGGCCGUGGUUGUGAUUUGUGAAUAUUGUGACCGCAGCUUCUUCUCUCAUCAUUGCUUUGGCGCUAUCCAUCCUGAGUUUUACGGGUCCCUCUUGCUCGCUCGCUCUGCUUCACUCUUCGCUACUUCUCACACAAAUCCUCCGUCUUGAAACCUUGGGAUCCUUGAUGCACCAAACUGGGUCAAAAGGGAAGACUUGAAUUAAGCUUUUGCAGGUGGCAAUAGAAGGGGCUUCGAGUGUGGGGAAUAAAUGCAGUCUGAGUCUGAGGGGGUAUGAGUUGUGAGCAGUACUCUUCAGAAGGCGCCUUUAAGAGGGAGUUAUGGGCUUAGGGUUUACAUGCUUUUGACUUAAAUUUGGUGGCAGGCUUUUUUAUUUAUGGGUAUGAGGGCAACUGUGGGAUGUUGACUCCUUCGAUUAGGUCACUAUCUCCCCAUCCCGUCCCUUUUCUUCUGCUUCUUCUUCUUCUUCUUCUUUUUCUUUUACUGCUAUACUACUGUUAGCUUUGCUGCUGCUGCUAUUGCUACUUCAUGGUCCAUUCAAUAAUAUCAUCAUCUCUCUUCUACUGGUAC